rnacentral:rRNA from 1 species
UACGGAGGGUGCAAGCGUUAAUCGGAAUUACUGGGCGUAAAGCGCACGCAGGUGGCUGAGUCAGUCGGUUGUGAAAGCCCUGGGCUUAACCUGGGAAUUGCAGUCGAUACUACUCAGCUAGAGUAUGGGAGAGGGCAGUGGAAUUCCCGGUGUAGCGGUGAAAUGCGUAGAUAUCGGGAGGAACAUCAGUGGCGAAGGCGGCUGCCUGGCCCAAUACUGACACUCAGGUGCGACAGCGUGGGGAGCAAACAGG